GCGGCGGACGGGUGAGAACACGUGGGUAACCUACCUAUAAGACUGGGAUAACUUCGGGAAACCGGAGCUAAUACCGGAUAACAUUUGGAACCGCAUGGUUCUAAAGUGAAAGAUGGUUUUGCUAUCACUUAUAGAUGGACCCGCGCCGUAUUAGCUAGUUGGUAAGGUAACGGCUUACCAAGGCGACGAUACGUAGCCGACCUGAGAGGGUGAUCGGCCACACUGGAACUGAGACACGGUCCAGACUCCUACGGGAGGCAGCAGUAGGGAAUCUUCCGCAAUGGGCGAAAGCCUGACGGAGCAACGCCGCGUGAGUGAUGAAGGGUUUCGGCUCGUAAAACUCUGUUAUUAGGGAAGAACAAACGUGUAAGUAACUGUGCACGUCUUGACGGUACCUAAUCAGAAAGCCACGGCUAACUACGUGCCAGCAGCCGCGGUAAUACGUAGGUGGCAAGCGUUAUCCGGAAUUAUUGGGCGUAAAGCGCGCGUAGGCGGUUUCUUAAGUCUGAUGUGAAAGCCCACGGCUCAACCGUGGAGGGUCAUUGGAAACUGGGAAACUUGAGUGCAGAAGAGGAAAGUGGAAUUCCAUGUGUAGCGGUGAAAUGCGCAGAGAUAUGGAGGAACACCAGUGGCGAAGGCGACUUU
rnacentral:rRNA from 1 species